GACGAACGCUGGCGGCGUGCCUAAUACAUGCAAGUCGAGCGAAGUUUUUCUGGUGCUUGCACCGGAAAAACUUAGCGGCGAACGGGUGAGUAACACGUAAAGAACCUGCCUCAUAGACUGGGACAACUAUUGGAAACGAUAGCUAAUACCGGAUAACAGCAUUAACUGCAUGGUUGAUGUUUAAAAGUUGGUUUUGCUAACACUAUGAGAUGGCUUUGCGGUGCAUUAGCCAGUUGGUGGGGUAAAGGCCUACCAAGGCGACGAUGCAUAGCCGACCUGAGAGGGUGAUCGGCCACACUGGGACUGAGACACGGCCCAGACUCCUGCGGGAGGCAGCAGUAGGGAAUCUUCCGCAAUGGGCGAAAGCCUGACGGAGCAACGCCGCGUGAGUGAAGAAGGAUUUCGGUUCGUAAAGCUCUGUUGUUAGGGAAGAAUGAUUGUGUAGUAACUAUACACAGUAGAGACGGUACCUAACCAGAAAGCCACGGCUAACUACGUG
rnacentral:rRNA from 1 species